GCAAGCGUUGUCCGGAAUCACUGGGCGUAAGGGUGCGUAGGCGGUUCUGCAAGUCUGGGGUGAAAGGCCAGGGCUCAACCUUGGGAAUGCCUUGGAAACUGUAGGACUUGAGUACUGGAGAGGCAAGGGGAAUUCCACGUGUAGCGGUGAAAUGCGUAGAGAUGUGGAGGAAUACCAGUGGCGAAGGCGCCUUGCUGGACAGUGACUGACGCUGAGGCACGAAAGCGUGGGGAGCAAACAGGAUUAGAUACCCUGGUAGUCCACGCCGUAAACGAUGAGUGCUAGGUGUUGGGGGGUACCACCCUCAGUGCCGAAGGAAACCCAAUAAGCACUCCGCCUGGGGAGUACGGUCGCAAGACUGAAACUCAAAGGAAUUGACGGGGGCCCGCACAAGCAGUGGAGCAUGUGGUUUAAUUCGAAGCAACGCGAAGAACCUUACCAGGGCUUGACAUCCCUCUGACGAUACCAGAGAUGGUAGGUCCCUUCGGGGCAGAGGAGACAGGUGGUGCAUGGUUGUCGUCAGCUCGUGUCGUGAGAUGUUGGGUUAAGUCCCGCAACGAGCGCAACCCUUGACCUGUGUUACCAGCACGUAGAGGUGGGGACUCACAGGUGACUGCCGGCGCAAGUCGGAGGAAGGCGGGGAUGACGUCAAAUCAUCAUGCCCCUGAUGUCCUGGGCGACACACGUGCUACAAUGGGCGGCACAACGGGAAGCGAGAGAGCGAUCUGGAGCGAACCCCUGAAAACCGCUCGUAGUUCGGAUUGCAGGCUGCAACUCGCCUGCAUGAAGCCGGAAUUGCUAGUAAUCGCGGAUCAGCAUGCCGCGGUGAAUCCGUUCCCGGGCCUUGUACACACCGCCCGUCACACCACGAGAGUUGGCAACACCCGAAGUCGGUGGGGUAACCCGAAAGGGAGCCAGCCGCCGAAGGUGGGGUCGAUGAUUGGGGUGAAGUCGUAACAAGUAGCCGUAUCGAG
rnacentral:rRNA from 1 species